rnacentral:rRNA from 1 species
GACGAACGCUGGCGGCGUGCCUAAUACAUGCAAGUUGAGCGAUGAAGAUUGGUGCUUGCACCAAUUUGAAGAGCAGCGAACGGGUGAGUAACGCGUGGGGAAUCUGCCUUUGAGCGGGGGACAACAUUUGGAAACGAAUGCUAAUACCGCAUAACAACUUUAAACAUAAGUUUUAAGUUUGAAAGAUGCAAUUGCAUCACUCAAAGAUGAUCCCGCGUUGUAUUAGCUAGUUGGUGAGGUAAAGGCUCACCAAGGCGAUGAUACAUAGCCGACCUGAGAGGGUGAUCGGCCACAUUGGGACUGAGACACGGCCCAAACUCCUACGGGAGGCAGCAGUAGGGAAUCUUCGGCAAUGGACGAAAGUCUGACCGAGCAACGCCGCGUGAGUGAAGAAGGGUGUCGGAUCGUAAAACUCUGUUGGUAGAGAAGAACGUUGGUGAGAGUGGAAAGCUCAUCAAGUGACGGUAACUACCCAGAAAGGGACGGCUAACCACGUG